CAAAGAGACAGCUGUAUGUACUCGGUAGCAGCAAACAUCUUGCAGCCACCUUGAAGAUUCACAUGCUUUCAAGGGACCAGCUACCCCUGAGAACAGUGAAAAGGACCAGCUCUUAAAGAUUUUGUGAACUAUAAGAGUCUAACUGCCUAAGAACGUCACCAUCUUUUCAAGGCAGAAACAGAUUAAAAAUUAUUUUCUUCUCUGUGAUGUACCAAUUGCAAUUGAUUUCUCUACUGUUCUUUAAAACGAAGUGGCAAAAGAAAUAGCAAAAAUGUUAGCAAUAAAAUACUAAUGAAAGUGUCUGUGCUCAAAGAAGAGGAAUUGCUGGAGGUGGAAGAAAUAAAGAAGCCUUGUGAGCACCAAGAAAGCCUUCAAAAAUACCAAUGCACCUGUACUAUAAUAGGGAACCAGCCUAGAGGAACCAGAGCAUCAUUACAAGCAAACUUUUAAUACAUUGCUUUCUGGGGAACAACAAUACAUUAUUCUUUUUUUAAAAAUCAUAAUAUUGUUAUAUUAUACACUGUAAGAAGUAAUGUUUGCUCACUACUCCUAAAGCACAUUUGAGAGGUUUAUACUUGUAAAGUGUAAUGUUAAAAAAUAAAAGUUGGCCCAACAGGAUAGCAUGCACAAAUAUGUUGCUGUAUACACAAUCAGGAAGAGUUCCCACAGACCCGUCUUAUCAUGAUGUGCACACCAGACCAAUGUAUUUAUUACAGAACCAGGGAGGGAGAAAUUCAAAAACAGUCAGUUGCUUUUAAAAGAAAAAAUAACAUUUUCAGCUAAUAGUUUUAUUUGGAUGCUAUAAAUAACUCAUGGAUCACGUUGCAGAUAAGUUGGUGGGAUAAGACUCCCAUUUUUGGGUUUCUAGGCUUAGGUCAGAUAAUAGAACACAUGGAGAAACUCCAAAUGGACACAUGUUUCUGUGGGCAAUGGGCGGCUGCCAA